AGCGGCCAUGUCAGACUGCAGUGUGCCCUUAAGGCUGACAUCCGGCGUUCUGGAGCAGGAGGCUGCUUUGGACCUUCUGCUUUCGAAGAGUCCCUGCAAACCUGCCUACUUGUGAGCUGACCCAGCGGCUGGAUCAGUUGGAGGAAGGAAAGCAACCAGACCUGGCGGAUGCUUGGAAGGCGUGCUCCCCUUCUCACAGAUAGCCCCUUCCCCCAGCUGGAAUAGCAUCAGAAGCACAACAAUUUCUGUGAAAUAGUCUUUUGGCUCAUUAAUAAAAUACAAGACAGGGGGGAGGGGGAGAUGCCCUGUCUUUGUAUGAAGGUAAAUCCCCCUCCAACCCAUUGGAAGGAGAUGACUUUGGAAAAAUGCAGCAUCUGAUUGGUAUUUGGCAAGAGACAGCUAGUAGAGCCAAGUCCAGAUCCCCGACCUGUCACACUUAAUCACCUCCAUACAUAACGAGCUGUGAUUGCACAUUUCCAAGUCAGCCAGGCAGGAGCAAGCACUGAGGUGGUGAUUAACUGUUUAUAGGACAAAUGCAUGUCAGCCCGACCUCCUUCCGAAAGGAGCCUAACGAAUCCAUAGCAGAAGGCCGGACUAUAGAGUCAGGUCUGCAGGGGAUUUUCUGAUGGUGAUUUACACCAGUUGCGGAUUUGUCCCUGUAGUUACCCAAAAAGUUUCCAUUUUGCCAAUUGGGCUGCAGAUGUAUCAGAGGUACUGUGUGGUACUGGAAACCCAGCAGAGCAGAACAUAAGUUAUUCUAGUAUGAAGGCAAGACCUGUUCCUCCCUUGGUGUCAAUCAGUGUAAUGCCAGAGCCGUCAAGGUCUCCUGAGCCCCAGUCCUGUGCCCCAGAACCUAAGCUCUUCUAAUGACCCAGCCUCAGGCUCCUGCCCUCUUGUUCCCACGAUGGACCAAGUAUAAGGCUCUGCAGCUUCCAGAACACCAGUCGGCCCUGGAUGCAUCUGAGCAGAAGUGCCAACUUCUUGAGUUCCUGGGGGCUGCUCCAUCCGAGGCUCCGCCCCCACUCUACCCUUUCCUCCAGCCCCCAUCCCUGCUACACCUUUUCCUGCCCGCUCCUGCCUCUUCCUGUUCUCCUUCCUCCCAGCCCCUCCUGACCGCCACUGAAUAGCUGAUCACCAAUGGUGGGACGCACUGAGGGAGAUGAGGCAGGAGCUACUCUGGGACUGCCUAUGAUGCUUGGCACCCCCUAAUUUUUCUGUGGGUGCUUCAGCUCCAAAGCCCCCACUGAGUCAGUGCCUAUGACUCUGAGGAAGGAAUCGGGCCCUUGCUAUGUACCGUGUGAGAAGGCCCAUACAAGCCCAUUAGAGGGCAGCUUUUUUAGGAAGUUUUAACUAAAAAAGUCCAAGGUUUUAUUCUGAAUUGAUACUGUAUCUAUUGCCUAAUGUACCAAAGUACAUGUCUGUGUAUAAAUAGCUCUGGAGGUGAACUCAUCUUUUAACAUCCCCAGGGCCAAACCCCCACCCCCACCCCCAGUCAUCCUAGCAUGAUGCCAUUACCCACUUUUAACUCGCAAAGAAAGUGUAGUCAGGUAUUUUCAGCUUGCUGCUCAGAAAUUUAACCUCAUCAUUUCAUGAAUGGCCACAUUAGAGAGACCACAUUGAAAACACAAGCCCAUUGCAUGGGUACGUCAGAAGCCUAGUGUAGUAAGAUUUGUAUGGGUGGCCUGUGGCAAUGCAAAUUGCCUUUGGAGUUCUCUAGGGCUAUGGCUAGACUGCUGAGAAAAGUCAG